rnacentral:tRNA from 1 species
AGGAGAUGUGGAGGUUGGUAAUCUCCGACGCUCUUAUAAGGCGUGAAAAUGCGAAAAAGGUUCGAUUCCUUUAUCUCCUA